GUUCCGUAGAUUUUGAUAUUCAUUAUUUUAGAUUCCAUUAUUUUGUAUAGUAAAAUGGAAAUUUAACUUUUUGGAACACAGGAGAGUUUUGCCGUAUGAUUGAAGAUAGAGCAUAAUCGAUCAUACAAAUAUAAUAAAUCAAGGUUAAGGUUAAAAUUGAAUAUUGUAACCAAUCACGUUCGUCAAAUCCACCUAAAUCGGUGCUUCACGUCACACAUAUUUGCUUCACGUAAACAUCAAGAAUACCUAAAAAUAUACGAAAUCAUUUAUUUACAUAAACGCAAACCCAACAACACUAACCACGAGAUCAGAACUAGUAGUAGCAAACGCAUCUCCAGCGACCGCAGGGACAGUAGUAAGUAGAUCGCUUUGACGUUUCAAGACAAGAGAGACAUCUCACGGCGAAGAGCAGAGCCAAUGGAACCGCGGCUAGGAGGAGCCAACUCAGCACAUCUUCGCCUGAGGAGACAGCAACUUCGAAUUUAACGACGGAGGAAAGGGCUAAGAGGACGAGGGCCACCGUGAUCAUGACUAUUACCGGCAACGGAGACGUCGAUACUCUACACCGUCCGCAGCAGCAGCCGUGGUAAUGCAUCGCCCUCUCACUGUUUUCUUUGGUUUGUUUAAUGGUUUACUUAUUGAUUUGUCAAAUGCUAGCUUUUUAUUCCUCGGAAGAUAGUGAAACAAAGAAAGAUAAAGCGAGAGAUAAUGGUUUGUUAGGUACACUAUAAAUGAUAUUAUUAUGGUCGAUGAUGAUACCACUCACUGUUUUUAGAAAAAAACAUAAGUACUAGCUAGUGGGGUAACGAAGGAAUUUAUGUGGUAAUUUACAUAUGUGUUUUGUGGAUUAGUCAGACCAUAGUUUCUCUAAUUUCAAGGGAUAUUCGUAUUGAUACUAAGCUGAUUAAGUAUUUGGUUUCAUCAUAUUUAUUUUGCGUUUUUCUUAGGACAAAUUACAAAGAUCUUCUAUCCUUGAUGUUGUCUCGAUGCAAAUUACAUUUGGAUCGAUCCCACCCGCAUAUUUCUCGACCUCUCCUUUCCUUAGAGUGCUCAAGCGAUUUCUAAUGUUAUUUUGCGUUUAUAUCAUCUUCACUUUGUUAAUUAAGUAUUUUCUUAGUCUUCCUUUGCUUAGCUUUCGCUAGCUAUCGUCUCAUACACACAAUACACAUGGAGUUCUCAAUUCAACCAAAAGACAAGUGAAAUUUG